UUUCGUAUUAGUGUUAGUGUUUUUGAUGUCCCUAAGCAGAAAUGAAAAUGGAGCGGAGAAUGCAAACACAAGAAGUUAAUCUACAGACUCAGAUAACGAAUUCGUUUGUCAUUUUCUGUGUUGAUGAAAAAUCUCAAACAAAUAGUAAUGCAGACUUUGUAUUGACAUACCUUAAUAUCUAGUACUAGUAAUAAAGAAGAAAGAAAAACUUUCACUGUGUUGUUUGAUAGGAAUUUGUGUGUUUCUUUUGCAGAUUAAAACCGCCAGUCAAUCUUCAUAAGCUUGGGAACUGAUGCCUACCGCUCAAGGAGCUUCGACCAAAACCGCAACAAGUUUUGUAAGGUUCCCGGUGGUAAUGACGCAUUCUGGUUUUGGUGGACUUUUUCCUAAUGAAAUAUAAUAUGAGUGCGCUUCAACCAUUGGUUUGAAGAGGGGGUGUAAAAUUAAUUAAGAAUGCCAGUGUUUGUAAUCAUGUCAUGCCAGAAGUAUUAAAGAUUGCUACUACUUACCAGUCUCACAAUGAAAGAUACAGCUGCAAGGUAUCAACUCUGACAAUGAAAGAUCAACUUAUUUCGAGCUUAAGAGAAGACUAGGCACACGACCACCUUAACUGGAGACGUGAAGUUCUCUUUCUCCAUCUAAUCUUGAUUUGAUGUAAACAGACGAUAGUCUCAAUUGGCUUAUUCGAUGCGAACUCUCUUCAUUUUUGAGUUAACCCGAUCAGAGGAAGGCUCAAUCAGUUGGUUUGGUAGCUGUACGAGUGAAACUGCGCAUUGUUCGGGGAAGUUAUAAAAAGGCGAUUCAAGAUCGGGAUUACAUCUGGACGCCGAACUUCUGCACUAUUAACUGGUUCGUGCGAAUUACUAAUUAGGCUAUGAGUCAAAAGCAUAUAUAGAUUUUUAACAAUUAGUUAUUUUCCAACAUAUUUGAUCCUCUUUUGAAUUUUUCAUAUAUAUCACCAGGGAAUAUUAGGAUAUACUAUCUUUGUUAUUUUCAAACACUACA